GCGGACGGGUGAGUAAUGCCUAGGAAAUUGCCCUGAUGUGGGGGAUAACCAUUGGAAACGAUGGCUAAUACCGCAUAACACCUUCGGGUCAAAGAGGGGGACCUUCGGGCCUCUCGCGUCAGGAUAUGCCUAGGUGGGAUUAGCUAGUUGGUGAGGUAAUGGCUCACCAAGGCGACGAUCCCUAGCUGGUCUGAGAGGAUGAUCAGCCACACUGGAACUGAGACACGGUCCAGACUCCUACGGGAGGCAGCAGUGGGGAAUAUUGCACAAUGGGCGCAAGCCUGAUGCAGCCAUGCCGCGUGUGUGAAGAAGGCCUUCGGGUUGUAAAGCACUUUCAGUCGUGAGGAAGGUAGUGUAGUUAAUAGCUGCAUUAUUUGACGUUAGCGACAGAAGAAGCACCGGCUAACUCCGUGCCAGCAGCCGCGGUAAUACGGAGGGUGCGAGCGUUAAUCGGAAUUACUGGGCGU
rnacentral:rRNA from 2 species